rnacentral:misc_RNA from 1 species
GAUGAAGAACGUAGCGAAAUGCGAUAAGUAAUGUGAAUUGCAGAAUUCAGUGAAUCAUCUAAUCUUUGAACGCACAUUGCGCCCGCCAGUAUUCUGGCGGGCAUGCCUGUUCGAGCGUCAUUACAACCCUCAGGCCCCCGGGCCUGGCGUUGGGGAUCGGCGGAAGCCCCCUGCGGGCACAACGCCGUCCCCCAAAUACAGUGGCGGUCCCGCCGCAGCUUCCAUUGCGUAGUAGCUAACACCUCGCAACUGGAGAGCGGCGCGGCCACGCCGUAAAACACCCAACUUCUGAAUGUUGACCUCGAAUCAGGUAGGAAUACCCGCUGAACUUAAGCAUAUCAAUAAGCGGAGGA